rnacentral:rRNA from 1 species
UGUAAGCGUAUACCAAAGUUGUUGCAGUUAAAACGCUCGUAGUCGGAAUUUGGCAGUUCCGGAUGUGUGCACGUCGUGUGCGCACUUCGCGGGGAUUGCUUUUGUGGUCUUGCGUGGGAUGAGGCACUUUUAUUAGUGAACGUCCUCACGCAACCACUUUUUACUGUGAGAAAAUCAGAGCGCUCAAAGCAGGCAUUUGCCGUGAAUGUAUUAGCAUGGAAUAAUAGAAUAGGACUUGGUUCUAUUUUGUUGGUUUGUUGGGACUGAGCAAUGAUUAAGAGGGACAGUUGGGGGCAUUUGUAUUUCGGUGCUAGAGGUGAAAUUCUUAGAUUACCGAAAGACAAACUGCUGCGAAAGCGUCUGCCAAGGAUGUUUUCAUUGA